rfam:Beta vulgaris subsp. vulgaris contig145738.1, whole genome shotgun sequence.
UUUUAGCCCUGAUAGCAGCGGCAUCCUUUUGUGGCGGGGUUCGCCACAAAAGAUACAGCGAAUAGCAGGAUUAGCU